AUUGAACGCUGGCGGCAGGCCUAACACAUGCAAGUCGAACGAGUGGCGGACGGGUGAGUAAUGUCUGGGAAACUGCCCGAUGGAGGGGGGUAACUACUGGAAACGGUAGCUAAUACCGCAUACCAUCGGAUGUUCACAGAGGGGAUUAUCCAGUAGGUUGGGUAACGGCUCACCUAGGCGAAGAUCCCCAGCUGGUCUGAGAGGAUGACCCGCAACACUGGAACUGAGACACGGUCCAGACUCCUACGGGAGGCAGCAGUGGGGAAUAUUGCACAAUGGGCGCAAGCCUGAUGCAGCCAUGCCGCGUGUAUGAAGAAGGCCUUCGGGUUGUAAAGUACUGUCAGCGAGGAGGCGUUACUCGCAGAAAAAGCACCGGCUAACUCCGUGCCAGCAGCCGCGGUAAUAC
rnacentral:rRNA from 1 species